AGCCGAAAUGCCGAGAAACAAAGUUGAAAUAGUAUUUUGUCGAAAAUAAUUGUGACCCGGAAGCACUUUUCAGCAGCACCAAACGACCGGAUGUUGAUGUUUUGCGAGCCAAGUUUGCUAAGCUAACGCUAGCCGCUAACCGAGUCGUAAAGUUGCGAUAUUAUUAUUAUCGACAGGCUGAACCUGGAAGAAACGACGCGGUGACAACGGGUGUUUGCACAUGAACGUCGACGUGUGUCCCGACACGAUAACGUUCAACUGCACACGACCGUGGAUUGGUUUUUAAGAGGCGUGCAGUCACCGGAGCUAGCGUAGCUUUGCUAACAAAAAAGGACAAAACCCUGAAACCGUGCUCCGUCUGUGACCUUCCAGACUGUAAAGCUUGUAUCACAACGGAAAGGAGGGAGGAGGCAUCCAGCAGGUAUCCGCUCUCCACUGUAAUACUUUCCCAUCCGUCCAUAACCUCUGGGCAUACUUCAAUAAAGAAAUAUGAAGAACAUAAAUGCGCUUUUGUGAAAAUGUGUUUUUGCAGCCAUAUGGCUCGGCUCCCAUCAGAUGAAGAGAAAGCAGGGAGAGAAGUUUUCGGAGAUCUUCAAGUCAGCUAGAGGAAAAGAAAGAAAUGUCGCUUCAGACAUCCGGCUGAUCAGCUGAAGACGGACUCGGCCACUGACGCAUGUCAGCAUUAUUCUAUUCCUGUGACAAGCUGAGGUGGGGAGAGUACUUUUGGAAUCACUUUGAAGUCGUUCAGUCGAGUCAGACAGUUUCCUUUAUGUAGAGAACUGUUGAAGCAGUAAAACUUUUUCCUUCUGCAAAGCUUUUAGUCUUGCCAAUUACCAAUCAAGCAAGAAAAUAUUCAAUGUCAUAUGACCUAUGCAUUAACAAAAAUGUAUAUAAAGCCACCCAAUUAUUACCCAAUUUCCCCCGUGGAUCAAAAAAGUAUUUCUGCUUCUGAUCAUUUCUGUUUGACAAACAGUCACUGCAAGACAGCAGCUCUGCUUUAAAAAACACAAACCGUCCUGCGUGUUGUUUGAUUGAGUUUCUAAUUAGGAGCCUUUCCAUGCUGACAGAUGUACUGUGAAAGAACUUGUAAGGCAGCAUCAAUUUAAUUGGAAUUUUAGAAAAACAACAUCAUAUUUUUUUUAAGAACUUUCAUCAAGAAAAGAGUUUGAUAGAAACUUGUCCUUCUAAUUAAGAAAGUAAGAAAAACUUUAAAUGCCACCAAUUGGAAGCGAUAGCAGGGUCUCCGUGAUUGUGGAGAUCCAUCGGAUUUUAAUUUGGGUAAUAACUUGAGAAGGUUUAACAUGCUCUAAUGUUCAGUAAACACACCUGUUUCCUGCAGCUCCUCUUUUCAGCCUCUCUCUGAAACACU
rnacentral:lncRNA from 1 species